rnacentral:rRNA from 1 species
GACGAACGCUGGCGGCGUGCUUAACACAUGCGAGUCGAACGGAAAGGCCCUGCUUUUGUGGGGUGCUCGAGUGGCGAACGGGUGAGUAACACGUGAGUAACCUGCCCUUGACUUUGGGAUAACUUCAGGAAACUGGGGCUAAUACCGGAUAGGAGCUCCUGCUGCAUGGUGGGGGUUGGAAAGUUUCGGCGGUUGGGGAUGGACUCGCGGCUUAUCGGCUUGUUGGGGAGGUAGUGGCUUACCAAGGCUUUGACGGGUAGCCGGCCUGAGAGGGUGACCGGCGACAUUGGGACUGCGGUACGGCGCAGUAGCCAACGUUCGGCAGCAGGGGGGAAUAUUGCGCAAUGGGCCGAAGCCUGAGGCGGAGACGCCGCGUGCGUGAUGACGUCCUUCGGGUUGUAAACCGCUGUCGACUGUGACGAAGCGUGAGUGACGGUAAUGGGUAAAGAAGCACCGGCUAACUACGUG